rnacentral:tRNA from 1 species
GAAAUAUUACGAUAAAGGAAAAAGCUUCUAACUUUUACCUAAGCGGUUAAACUCCGUUUAUAUUUCU